UAUCCACCCACAGGCGCCGCCACCUCUCCCUCUCUCCUUUGGCUCUCGAUUUAGAUUCGCCACCCACCGGCGCCCUCACAUCUCCCCGCCGGUGUCCCCCAAGCCGCCGUCCUCCCACCGUCUCCUCGCAAAGGCCAUAGGCUUUGCCGGUGUGGGAUAGGACGAUUUCUUCCUCACGUUGCUUCUGCUCGGCCGUGCGUGAGGAGAUGCCAUGGACGCUGAUGCACCUGCACCACGAACUCUAUGCAAGGAGAGGAGUGGGGGUGCUGCAGGGAGGAAAGGGAAGAAUGGGAUGCACCUGAGGAGCGAGGGUUUGCCAUCUUGGUUCCUGCUCGACCAUGUUGCUUAUGGAUGGUGAGAAGAAGGAAGGUGCUGCAAGUGCCAGGGGAAGGGGUCGGAUGCUGCUGAAACCCUUGCUACCAAGCACCUACGGGUGAAAUGGACGUGAACCUUCAGAAAUCAAAUGUUUGGCACCGGCGCGGCUCCGGUGCCUGCUGGAUGGUGCUCCUGGAAUAAGACGGCGUGGAGGCCCUCCUCUCGCAGGAUGUGCUGAUGCGGCGCAUGCAGCAGCAUGUUUGGGACGAGCGCGAGCGCGAUGGCCUUGUCCCGACGAUGACGGCGGCGAACAUCGGUGCUCCUUCUCGUCCUCUAUCUCCAAGGACGCGCGCCGGUACAGCUCGGGCAACCCUGCCCCGAACGCCGACCACCCAUCUGGCAAUGUACAGGUCGUCCUCACGCGUGUGGAUUCGCCUCCUGCUGGACUGAACACUUGCAAUGUGGACAUGCCAAACGCAGAAACAAGCACACUGGCGUAUCUGUACCGGCAAGGUCUCUUUUCACACCAUCUAGUCCAAAACCAAAAGCUGUUGUAUUCUCUGAUGAACUUCAAGGCAACGAAAAUGCAGCAUAUAUAUGCAAGCUUCCUUGGGUACCUGCACAAGAUAUACAUGACAUGCAAGCAGAGCCAUAUUAAUAUAGGUUUGGCAGUUAAUCCAUGUUACUGGAGACUGAAGUUUUUUAGCAGGAAUUACUUGGGUCUGGAAGCUGCCUUCAAUCGUUGUUGUUGGAGAUUAAAAUUAGCUAGCAGUGCAUUUUCUUUUAAGUCAUGUAACUCACUCUUUACAAAAAAAACUUAUAGCGCUUUCUAGAUGUGCUUGGGAUGUUUUGAUAUUAGCUUUGCUUUUUCAAAUUAGAUUUGAUUGUUGGAAAUUUGUAUUGUCAUGUAAACUAUUGCUAUUUUUUGAAGGAAUAUAGUUUGGUUGUCUU